rnacentral:lncRNA from 1 species
UGUAAAUUGGGCGAAUGCAAUGAAGACCUUUUAGCCCAGUUGAAGAAGGAGUCGAUGGAAAGAUUGGAGGAAGAUAAAAGUUUAUAUUUUGAACCAGAAUUAGUAGAAUCAACAAUAGAUAAUGUGGUAGUUGAUCAACUAGGUGGGCUAGAAGGAUAGCAAUUUGGUAGAGUUUUAUUUAAUUUUUUUUAGAUAUGUAUCAAUUCUGUGUUUGCAAGGAUACUACAUAAUUAAGAAUGGGAUUAUAUAGAAGGGGUAGAAAUUUAUUUUUGUAAGAUAUUAGUAAAGUAGUUUAAUCAUUUCUAAGAUAGUCAAUUGAGUAGGAUGGGUGAUUGAAUUAGUUGUAAAAAAUGGUUAAGUACAAAAUGAUGGUUAGAAUCUGGAAUUUCAGAAGUAAAGCAUAAGUAAGUUGAAGAAGAUAUUCUAAAGGCCAGACUGUGAUAGUCAUAAUCUGGGGUAAGCUUGGUGCUACUUCUAUUUUUUUUUUGUUGAAGAGUAAUGGAUAAUUUCUAAAUAUUGAAAAGUGAAUCUGUGGAAUA